CCGAGUGUGGGGCAGUUUGGUCAGCCCGCCUGCCUUGGGAGCAGGAGCACCGCAGGUUCGAAUCCUGCCACUCGGACGA
rnacentral:tRNA from 2 species